GCCCCCGUUGUCUAAUGGUUAUGACGUCAGACUUCUACCACUUGGCGAUCUGGAGGUUGCGGGUUCGAGUCCCGCCGGGGGUU